CAUCAGCUUUCCCAUUCUUUCCUUCCCCAUCUGCGAUGGUUCCAGAACUAACGGGAGAGGGUGAGAGCUCGGUGUGCCGUCUUUCAUCCUCUGUUUCGAUCGUCUAUUGCCGGCAGUCAUGGGUGUGCUUCCGCCAUUGGGAUGGGUUCUGUAAGCUCCCGAUUUCUUCCUCCUCCUCCGUUUUAGCAUCACGUGCUUUCCUUCUCUCUAUCUCCGUUCUGCGUUGUUACUGUCUUGGGUGAGUGGAAGGGCUGGAUUCUUUCUUUCCAUUUCUCCUUUGCUUGUUGAUUCAUCUUUAACAAUGAAGACAACAUCAUCAUCAUCAUCAACAACCACGUCAAAAAUGAGCUUGAAGCUUUUAGUUGACACAAAAGCUGAGAGACUUCUCUUCGCCGAAGCAUCUACUUCGUCGACUUCCUUUGCAACCUCCACCGCUUGUCAAUCGGCGCCAUCACGAACCUGCUAACCAAAACCAACAUGGUGCGUUCCUAAGGCAAACUUUAUGAAGGCAUCGAGAAUCUUAGCAACGCAUACUUGCUACAACAUAACCAAGGUAAAGACAUCUUGCUGAAGCCAAAAACCCUAAUCCCUCUUGGCUUCCUCUUGCUACCAAAUUACGAAGGGAAUGCUGAAGAAGAAGAAGAAGAGUCUCCUGAGCUGUAUAUGUGCAGGAAUAGGUGUCCGUACAAUGUGACUCUAGUUAUGAACACCCGGUGUUCGGAUUGUAGUAAUACUAUGAAAUAUCCUGUGACGUAUGUGGGGAAGAAGAAGAAGAUGGAAGUGGAAGGUUUUGGUGGGGAGGAUGGGUUUGGGAAGGAAGCUGUGACGUAUAUGGUAAUGGAUGAUCUUGUGGUUCAACCUAUGUCUCCUAUCUCGUGUAUUGCUUUGCUCAACAAGUUCAACAUUAAAGAUGUUAGUUCACUACAAUAAAUGGUUGUUGAGUUUGGAAUAUAAGAGGGUAUCCAACUACUGAAGGCUUCUCUGCAGUACAGCAAGGCUCUAACAAGUGUUUUCCUCAAGGAUAUCAAGUUUAAGAAAGAAUCAAAUAUGAUCCUUCAUUAAUGUCAUUGUGUGUGUGUAUACUAAAUGGUAUUACCUAUUUGAUUUCAUUUAAUUGUUCUUUGUCACGGAUAAUUACAUAGUUAUGCUUAUCAAAUAAAAUUAGCAUGGAUG